UAGCGUUAAAGCUCUUUGAGAACUUGUCUUGCAGGUUUUCCAGUUUCUAUCGGAAAGUGCCCCC